rnacentral:rRNA from 1 species
GUGGGGAAUAUUGGACAAUGGGCGAAAGCCUGAUCCAGCCAUGCCGCGUGUGUGAAGAAGGUCUUCGGAUUGUAAAGCACUUUAAGUUGGGAGGAAGGGUUGUAGAUUAAUACUCUGCAAUUUUGACGUUACCGACAGAAUAAGCACCGGCUAACUUCGUGCCAGCAGCCGCGGUAAUACGAAGGGUGCAAGCGUUAAUCGGAAUUACUGGGCGUAAAGCGCGCGUAGGUGGUUCGUUAAGUUGGAUGUGAAAGCCCCGGGCUCAACCUGGGAACUGCAUCCAAAACUGGCGAGCUAGAGUACGGUAGAGGGUGGUGGAAUUUCCUGUGUAGCGGUGAAAUGCGUAGAUAUAGGAAGGAACACCAGUGGCGAAGGCGACCACCUGGACUGAUACUGACACUGAGGUGCGAAAGCGUGGGGAGCAAACAGGAUUAGAUACCCUAGUAGUCC